rnacentral:rRNA from 1 species
AUACGGAGGGGGUUAGCGUUGUUCGGAAUUACUGGGCGUAAAGCGCACGUAGGCGGUUUGGAAAGUUGGGGGUGAAAUCCCAGGGCUCAACCCUGGAACUGCCUCCAAAACUAACAGUCUAGAGUUCGAGAGAGGUGAGUGGAAUUCCAAGUGUAGAGGUGAAAUUCGUAGAUAUUUGGAGGAACACCAGCGGCGAAGGCGGCUCACUGGCUCGAUACUGACGCUGAGGUGCGAAAGCGUGGGGAGCAAACAGGAUUAGAAACCCUAGUAGUCC